rnacentral:misc_RNA from 1 species
AACCCUCAACCCCCCUGUUUUGUAAUGAAGCAGGCGCGGGCUUGGAUUCUGGCUGUUUUGCAGGCCCUUUAUAGGGUCAGCUCAGCUGAAAUGUGCGAGCAGCUUGUAUUUCGAUAGCAUAGAAGGCUUAACUCGGCGUAAUAACACUUAUUCUCGCCAGGUUGAAUGCAGUCUUAUCGUUAGACGGCGCUUAUAAUUCGCUUCACUUUGUGAAACACUUGAAC